rnacentral:lncRNA from 1 species
CACCCAGUCGCUGCCUCUUCUGUGGCUCCCUUGAGACAGAGCUGUGUAGGGAACUUGGCAGGUGCCUAAGUUCCUUACAAACACCUAUUUCUCAUGUCACAGGGUCCGGCCCCUGCAGGCAUCUGAGUGCUCCAGCUGGGCCCAGAGUGUGCCCAAGUGUUGCAUCACCAACUCCUUCUCUGGGCCUUCAAACUUCAAAUAGAAAUUCCUGGAGCAGAGCAGCAAAGGCCUAAGCGUUUCUCAUGCCCACCUGUCUGUGUGCUGAAGGUCUGCACUAACCAGAGGAGAGUUAAAAGGAAUGGGGAGACACAGACAUCCACACAAGUCCCCAAAAAGAAUGGUCACACUAUACUGAGAGAAGAAGUGAAGCAAGCCCAGGCUUUGCCACCAGCACAAAAUCAACAACAAAGACGGAGGCUUGAAGUAGGACCAAACUAUGUGGAAUCCAAGAAGAUUUCCUGA